rnacentral:tRNA from 4 species
GCUAAGGUGGCAGAGCCCGGUAAUUGCGAGAGGCCUAAGCCCUCUUUUUCAGAGGUUCAAGUCCUCUCCUUAGCU